rnacentral:rRNA from 1 species
GAUGAACGCUGGCGGCGUGCCUAAUACAUGCAAGUCGAGCGAACAGACGAGGAGCUUGCUCCUCUGACGUUAGCGGCGGACGGGUGAGUAACACGUGGAUAACCUACCUAUAAGACUGGGAUAACUUCGGGAAACCGGAGCUAAUACCGGAUAAUAUAUUGAACCGCAUGGUUCAAUAGUGAAAGACGGUUUUGCUGUCCCUUAUAGAUGGAUCCGCGCCGCAUUAGCUAGUUGGUAAGGUAACGGCUUACCAAGGCAACGAUGCGUAGCCGACCUGAGAGGGUGAUCGGCCACACUGGAACUGAGACACGGUCCAGACUCCUACGGGAGGCAGCAGUAGGGAAUCUUCAGCAAUGGGCGAAAGCCUGACGGAGCAACGCCGCGUGAGUGAUGAAGGUCUUCGGAUCGUAAAACUCUGUUAUUAGGGAAGAACAAAUGUGUAAGUAACUAUGCACGUCUUGACGGUACCUAAUCAGAAAGCCACGGCUAACUACGUG